rnacentral:rRNA from 1 species
UACGUAGGGUGCGAGCGUUGUCCGGAAUUAUUGGGCGUAAAGAGCUCGUAGGCGGUGUGUCGCGUCGGCCGUGAAAACCUGGGGCUCAACUCUGGGCGUGCGGUCGAUACGGGCAUCACUUGAGUUCGGCAGGGGAGACUGGAAUUCCUGGUGUAGCGGUGAAAUGCGCAGAUAUCGGGAGGAACACCAAUGGCGAAGGCAGCUUGCUGGGACGGUACUGACGCUGAGGCGCGAAAGCGUGGGGAGCAAACAGG